rnacentral:rRNA from 1 species
GUGAGGAAUAUUGCGCAAUGGAGGCAACUCUGACGCAGCCAUGCCGCGUGCAGGAAGAAGGCGCUACGCGUUGUAAACUGCUUUUAACCGGGAAGAAACCCCAGGACGUGUCCUGGGUUGACGGUACCGGAGGAAUAAGCACCGGCUAACUUCGUGCCAGCAGCCGCGGUAAUACGAAGGGUGCAAGCGUUAUCCGGAUUCAUUGGGUUUAAAGGGUGCGUAGGCGGAGCGUUAAGUCAUUGGUGAAAUCCUGCAGCUUAACUGUAGACUUGCCAUUGAUACUGGCGCUCUUGAGUGCGCUUGAAGUGGGCGGAAUGUGCCGUGUAGCGGUGAAAUGCUUAGAUAUGGCACAGAACACCAAUUGCGAAGGCAGCUCACUAAGGCGAUACUGACGCUGAGGCACGAAAGCGUGGGGAUCGAACAGGAUUAGAUACCCUGGUAGUCC